AUUGAACGCUGGCGGCAUGCCUUACACAUGCAAGUCGAACGGCAGCACGGGAGCAAUCCUGGUGGCGAGUGGCGAACGGGUGAGUAAAGUAUCGGAACGUGCCCAGUCGUGGGGGAUAACGUAGCGAAAGUUACGCUAAUACCGCAUACGAUCUAUGGAUGAAAGCGGGGGAUCGCAAGACCUCGCGCGAUUGGAGCGGCCGAUAUCAGAUUAGGUAGUUGGUGGGGUAAAGGCUCACCAAGCCGACGAUCUGUAGCUGGUCUGAGAGGACGACCAGCCACACUGGGACUGGGACGCGGCCCAGACUCCUACGGGAGGCAGCAGUGGGGAAUUUUGGACAAUGGGCGAAAGCCUGAUCCAGCCAUGCCGCGUGCAGGAUGAAGGCCUUCGGGUUGUAAACUGCUUUUGUACGGAACGAAAAGGUUUGGGCUAAUAAGCUGAGCUCAUGACGGUACCGUAAGAAUAAGCACCGGCUAACUACGUGCCAGCCGCCGCGGUAA
rnacentral:rRNA from 1 species